rnacentral:sRNA from 1 species
CCCUUAAUUCUUUCCCUCUUUCCCGUACCCUGUCUCUCUCUCUUCCCUCACGACUCUCUCUCACUCUCAGUUCUCUCUCUCUUCCUCUCCGACGCUCAACCUCACCCAAAACCACCUAAAACAUAAACAAACGUCCAAGGUAAGACCACAUUUGGACUCCUGGAACUUCCACGAUCACGUAGACAUCAAUUUCAGGGAAAUCUAAGCUCACAGGGAGCUCUAGGAGGUUCCCACGAAGCUCGGAGUGCUUCGUUGGAAGUUUUUGGACGAAAGAACACGGAGAUCGACGAGUUCAAAGUUUGGCCGGAGCUUUCGAGGCAUUUUCCGGCGAAUCCCCGGCGAGUUAGGAGUCGAGGUAGGUAUCAAUCUCUUCGUCUCGUCAAGUACUACAACUUUCCUUUUUGUUUCACUCAAUGUCUUUCCGGCGACCUCCGAGGCUUUCGAGGCAGUUUCCGGCCAAACCACAGCGAACUAGGUGUUGUGCAAGGUACCAUUCUCUUUGUCUCUUCAAGGGCUACAACUUUCAUUUUUGA